UACAGAGAGUGCGAGCGUUAAUCAGAAUUACUGGGCGUAAAGCGCAUGUAGGUGGACAACUAAGUCGAAUGUGAAAGCCCCGGGCUUAACUUGGGAAUUGCAUCCGAUACUGGUUGUCUAGAGUAUGGUAGAGGGAAGUGGAAUUUCCGGUGUAGCGGUGAAAUGCGUAGAUAUCGGAAGGAACACCAGUGGCGAAAGCGGCUUCCUGGACUAAUACUGACACUGAGAUGCGAAAGCGUGGGGAGCAAACAGG
rnacentral:rRNA from 1 species